rnacentral:misc_RNA from 1 species
CAAUUUAAAGGUGUCACUUUUUCUGCCGGGGCUUACUGGUGCGAUAUGAGAGGGGGAUUU